ensembl:misc_RNA Metazoa_SRP Metazoan signal recognition particle RNA
GCCGGGCGUGGUGGCACGUACCUGUAGUCCCAGCUACUCAGGAGGCUGAGGUGGGAGGAUUGUUUGAGCCCAGGAGUUCUGGGCUAUAGUGCACUAUUGCGAUCGGGUGUCCACACUAAGUUUGGCAUCAAUAUGGUGACCUCCCAGGAGCAAGGGACCACCAGGUUGCCAAAGGAAGUGUGAAUCGGCCAAGGUCAGAAAUGGAGCAGGUCAAAACUCCUGUGCUGAUCAGUAGUGGGAUCUCUUCUGUGAAUAGCUACUAUACUCCAGCUGGGGCAACAUAGCGAGACCCUGUCUCUG